CUUCAACUCCAUUCUUCUAUUCUCACCUGCUCCCUGUCGUGGGAUGACCUCGAUUCCCACUUCUCUUCUCAGCAGGCUGAUCUCAAUCGCCGAUUCCACCACCUACAAUCCCGGGAGAAGGCUCCCUCAUCAUCAUCAAACAAGCAGAACGGCGUUGCGACGAAUUUCAAUCAAGCUUCAUCUUCUCAACCAGCGGGUGACGACA
rnacentral:lncRNA from 1 species